rnacentral:snRNA from 1 species
AUACUUACCUGGCAGGGGAGAUACUUCCCUGGAGGUUUUCCCAGGGUGAGGCAAAGCCAUUGCACUCCGGCUGUGCUGGUCCCUGCGAUUUUCCCAAAUGCAGGGAACUCAACUGCAUAAUUUGUGGUAGUGGGGGACUGCAUGCAUGGUUUAA